GGCGCAGUGGUCGAAAGGUAAGGCGUCCGUCUGCAAAGCGGAAUCGUGCCGGUUCGAGUCCGGCCUGCGCCU
rnacentral:tRNA from 1 species